rnacentral:rRNA from 1 species
UACGUAGGGCGCAAGCGUUGUCCGGAAUUAUUGGGCGUAAAGAGCUCGUAGGCGGCUUGUCGCGUCUGCUGUGAAAUCCCGAGGCUCAACCCCGGGCGUGCAGUGGAUACGGGCAGGCUGGAGGCAGGCAGGGGAGAACGGAAUUCCCGGUGUAGCGGUGAAAUGCGCAGAUAUCGGGAGGAACACCGGUGGCGAAGGCGGUUCUCUGGGCCUGUACUGACGCUGAGGAGCGAAAGCGUGGGGAGCGAACAGG